GGACAGAUCUUUCUAAAGCCAGAGCAACCGCAGGGUACUUUCCUCCAGUGGCCAAAGUUUAUUUGACACAACAAAGUUUCUAAUCAGGCCACGGAGACCUGGAUUUCUCCUCAUUUGCCUUGCUCCCCGUCUCUUCCUCUGAAGAUGUUGGAGACUUUCUUGCGAGGAAGGAUGGCUAUAGGUCAAAUUGCUAAGGCCUGAUCUUAAAGAUCUAAUUGCUUUUGGAAGAGAAGCCUGUUUCCCAGCUGGGCCUCCACUCUGGAGAUGGCGCAAGGAAGACUGUCCAGCCCUGCUCUGGGCACCCUGCUGAUGGAUGAGGUGUCAGGCCAGUAGUCAUGUGAGGACUGGUUUCCAAAUGGAAGAAAUGGAUAAUCAAAGAAAUACAAGAAACUUUUGUUUAUCUUUGGUAAAAUGGGAGUAGGAAAAGCAAGGACAACUAACUUUUACUACUAAUUACCAAGACUCAUUUUAAGGCAAGUAAUUUUAACCUCAUUUCCCAUUGAAAUCUGGAACUACUAACCAAUUGAAAAUCUGACUUGGUUUAAUUUCAUUUCCAUUGUUUUUCUUGCACACGCUCUGAAGUAGUGUCUGAAUGAAAAGAGAGUAGUCUGUGAAAGAGAAGUGGAUAAUUGGAAGGAUGACUAAUGAACAAAUGACUCUAUGGGCUCAAAAAGAAAGAUGACUGAGAUUUAAUUGAUCUUCUGUGUUAAUUUGACUGAAUUGUCCCUAAAUAUAUUCUGUUGAUUUAUUUCCCUUGAUAUCUCCAAUGGAUAUAACCAUUUCCAGGCCUUAUCUCUAAGAAGAAAAUGCCAUAUAUUAAUUCUAGAGUUAAAAUUCUGAGAAAUCUGGACCUUUCCAACUGUGGAAUCCAUUUCCAAGCAUUUACUUUCCUUUAAGACUGGUUGUGAUGAUGUGUAUUAUGUAGGAAUUGAGCAGUGACCAUAACUAUUGGAAUGGUCUCCUUUUUACAACAUUGUUAAGAUAUCAGAAAGAAUUCCAGUGGUGUACCAUUGUUAAUAUGUAAAUAUUAUUUUUUAAUGAAAGCAUAUAUUUUGAAUCAAUGCCAUAGUAUGCCACAUCCACUUGUUUCUUGUUUUUUUUUAUAGGCUUCAUGGAAUAUGAGAGCCAAAAUAAUGACUGGGUAUGUUUUAAGGUCUUGAGUAUAAAGUUGAUGAUCCUGACUUUAAAAGUCCUGCAUUUGAAAUAAUUUGUUGCAUUGUUUUGGUUUAAUAUUAGUGCAUAGAAGUGCUAAAUAUAGUCAGAGGAUGUAAUGAGGACGUGUUUACAAACUUGAACAUGAGGAAAUAUUAAUUGACCUUUGAGAGAGCCUCCUCCCAAGCCAGUGAAGGGCUGACUUUUUAAAAAUUCUAUUUGAACUUCUACAGUUUCGCACACAGAGACUUGUCCCUUUUGGAGACCAA
rnacentral:lncRNA from 1 species